rnacentral:rRNA from 1 species
AGUCGUAACAAGGUUUCCGUAGCAUAAGUUAGCGAAGUGAUGCUUCCCUGGGUAGAACUUAUAGAAGCCUUAGUAGCCCAGAAAUGGGAGGCCACGCGACCCAAAAUAAGGUGCGCCAUUUGCUAGUUGACCACGGCGUCAGCAACAUGACCAGACUGGCGGGAAACCCCUGUGGGCGCCGUUCUUCGGCGCUGAGAGGCAACCCGCAGCGAGUCUCGCAUGCGCCAAGUGCGCAUUCGGGGCACGUCUACAGACUAAGUGGUCGUGGGUAGGGUGGCAAUGCCCUAUUUGAGAUAUAGUCGGGCCUGACGGAUAGCAUCCAUCAGGGCACCCAUCGCCUGGCGAUGAACGCAGCCGUUCCGUAGGUGAACCUGCGGAAGGAUCAUUACAGAGAACAUGCCCCCCGGGGUAGAUCUCCAACCCUAUGUUUACUUACUCAUGUUGCUUUGGCAAGCCCGUCUUCGGACUGCCGGCGUACGCUGGCCAGUGCCUGCCAGAGGACCCCAAACUCAUGUUAUUUGUCGUCCGAGUCUCAAAAAAAUAGUUAAAACUUUCAACAACGGAUCUCUUGGUUCUGGCAUCGAUGAAGAACGCAGCGAAAUGCGAUAAGUAAUGUGAAUUGCAGAAUUCAGUGAAUCAUCGAAUCUUUGAACGCACAUUGCACCCUCUAGUAUUCUGGGGGGUAUGCCUGUUCGAGCGUCAUUACAACCCUCAAGCACUGCUUGGCGUUGGGCAUCACCGCCCCGGUGGGCCCAAAAUCAGUGGCGGAGCCGUUCGGUUUCCAGCGUAGUAAAUCUCUCGCUGUAGAGUCGCGACGUCCCCGCCAGCANCCACCAAAUUUUACAAGGUUGACCUCGGAUCAGGUAGGGAUACCCGCUGAACUUAAGCAUAUCAAUAAGCGGAGGAAAAGAAACCAACAGGGAUUGCCUCAGUAACGGCGAGUGAAGCGGCAACAGCUCAAAUUUGAAAUCUGGCCUCGCGGUCCGAGUUGUAAUUUGUAGAGGAUGCUUCGGGCGUGGUCCGGUCUAAGUCCCUUGGAAUAGGGCAUCACAGAGGGUGAGAAUCCCGUACGUGACCGGGUGCCUAGGUCCAUGUGAAGCUCCUUCAACGAGUCGAGUUGUUUGGGAAUGCAGCUCUAAAUGGGUGGUAAAUUUCAUCUAAAGCUAAAUAUUGGCCAGAGACCGAUAGCGCACAAGUAGAGUGAUCGAAAGAUGAAAAGCACUUUGGAAAGAGGGUUAAACAGUACGUGAAAUUGUUGAAAGGGAAGCGCUUGCAACCAGACUUGCAUUUAGUUGAUCAUCCGAUGUUCUCACCGGUGCACUCUGCUAGAUUCAGGCCAGCAUCGGUUUCGGUGGUUAGAUAAAGGCCCCAGGAAUGUGGCUUCCUCCGGGGAGUGUUAUAGCCUGGGGUGCAAUGUAACCCACUGGGACCGAGGACCGCGCUUCGGCUAGGAUGCUGGCGUAAUGGUUGUAAGCGACC